CCUACGGGCGGCAGCAGUGGGGGAUAUUGCACAAUGGGGGGAACCCUGAUGCAGCGACGCCGCGUGUGGGAAGACGGUCCUCUGGUUUGUAAACCACUGUCCCCAGGGACGAAAUUGACGGUACCUGGGGAGGAAGCUCCGGCUAACUACGUGCCAGCAGCCGCGGUAAUACGUAGGGAGCGAGCGUUGUCCGGAAUUACUGGGUGUAAAGGGCGCGUAGGCGGGGAUGCAAGUUGGGUGUAAAAACUACCGGCUCAACUGGUAGUCGCACUCUAAACUGCAGCUCUUGAGUGAAGUAGAGGCAGGCGGAAUGACGAGUGUAGCGGUGAAAUGCGUAGAUAUUGGGAGGAACACCAGUGGCGAAGGCGGCCUGCUGGGCUUUUACUGACGCUGAGGCUCGAAAGUGUGGGGAGCAAACAGGAUUAGAUACCCUUGUAGUC
rnacentral:rRNA from 1 species